UCCGAGUUGACCCCGGCAGUCUCUCACGAGUCCCCGACAUAACUCGCUGGCAACUAAGAGCAGGGGUUGCGCUCGUUGCGGCACUUAAGCCAACACCUCACGGCACGAGCUGACGACAGCCAUGCAGCACCUGUGCUAGCCCCUUACGGACACGGGCUUUCACCCGCUUUAACCUGCAUGUCAAGCCCAGGUAAGGUUCUUCGCGUUGCAUCGAAUUAAGCCACAUGCUCCGCCGCUUGUGCGGGUCCCCGUCAAUUCCUUUGAGUUUUAGCCUUGCGGCCGUACUCCCCAGGCGGGGUGCUUAAUGCGUUAGCUGCGGCACGGAAGGAGUCGACACCUCCCACACCUAGCACCCAUCGUUUACGGCGUGGACUAC
rnacentral:misc_RNA from 1 species